UCCUGGCCAAAAUUGUUUCUUACAAAAUUCUCUAACUCAGCAAAGCAGCUAAUGAUACUCUUGAGUCUCAUUUUCUGUCUCUCCAGGCUCCAACUGCUUUUGACCAUACCACUCAGGAUUAAGGCAUCUGGACUUACCUGUAUGUGACAGAUGUCCCUUGGGCCUGGACAACAGAAGAAGUUGCCAUGAGAUUUUGGGCCUUCUGGCUUGAGCUCAGGAUCUAGGAAUGUGGUUAGAAGAGGACAAAAAAUAUUGCCUGAGAAGUCACUCGCUGUGCCAUUGAUUGGCCCAUGACUCAGCAGAGAUCUUUCCCCAAGAGCAUAUUUUACGAUGAAACAAAGGAUGAGACCCCAGAGUACAGAAUGAAUCUACGUGUGUACUGGGAACUGGGAGAUGAGUGCAAACGUGAGUGCAAAGAGAGAAAGAAGAUGGGAGGCCCCAUGAUUCUGCUUCCGUGGCAACAGCCAAAGCCAUAUUCUGCCACUUCUACCGUAUCUCUUCUAUUCUCUAGAUGGCGGCUGCUCAGCCAAAGGAAAGAAUUCGAUCUGAGGUUGGAGGAAGAGGAAUGAGUCCACAGAUACACAUUUUGGAUGUGCUGCCUGGAGAUGAUGCAAGUGCUGUCAAGUUUCCCAACCUGGAUUUUAUUUCCUUCAUGAUGAGAAAUAGAAGUACAUAAUUUGGCAGAGAGAAAAGUGAUUAUCCUGUUGGUUAAGAGGAAAUUGUUUUAGUGAUAUGAAAAAUAAAAAAUCACUACAAAUUCCAAGUGA